CAGAUGGGAGCUUGCUCCCUGAUGUUAGCGGCGGACGGGUGAGUAACACGUGGGUAACCUGCCUGUAAGACUGGGAUAACUCCUGGAAACCGGGGCUAAUACCGGAUGGUUGUUUGAACCGCAUGGUUCAGACAUAAAAGGUGGCUUCGGCUACCACUUACAGAUGGACCCGCGGCGCAUUAGCUAGUUGGUGAGGUAACGGCUCACCAAGGCAACGAUGCGUAGCCGACCUGAGAGGGUGAUCGGCCACACUGGGACUGAGACACGGCCCAGACUCCUACGGGAGGCAGCAGUAGGGAAUCUUCCGCAAUGGACGAAAGUCUGACGGAGCAACGCCGCGUGAGUGAUGAAGGUUUUCGGAUCGUAAAGCUCUGUUGUUAGGGAAGAACAAGUGCCGUUCAAAUAGGGCGGCACCUUGACGGUACCUAACCAGAAAGCCACGGCUAACUACGUGCCAGCAGCCGCGGUAAUACGUAGGUGGCAAGCGUUGUCCGGAAUUAUUGGGCGUAAAGGGCUCGCAGGCGGUUUCUUAAGUCUGAUGUGAAAGCCCCCGGCUCAACCGGGGAGGGUCAUUGGAAACUGGGGAACUUGAGUGCAGAAGAGGAGAGUGGAAUUCCACGUGUAGCGGUGAAAUGCGUAGAGAUGUGGAGGAACACCAGUGGCGAAGGCGACUCUCUGGUCUGUAACUGACGCUGAGGAGCGAAAGCGUGGGGAGCGAACAGGAUUAGAUACCCUGGUAGUCCACGCCGUAAACGAUGAGUGCUAAGUGUUAGGGGGUUUCCGCCCCUUUAGUGCUGCAGCUAACGCAUUAAGCACUCCGCCUGGGGAGUACGGUCGCAAGACUGAAACUCAAAGGAAUUGACGGGGGCCCGCACAAGCGGUGGAGCAUGUGGUUUAAAUUCGAAGCAACGCGAAGAACCUUACCAGGUCUUGACAUCCUCUGACAAUCCUAGAGAUAGGACGUCCCCUUCGGGGGCAGAGUGACAGGUGGUGCAUGGUUGUCGUCAGCUCGUGUCGUGAGAUGUUGGGUUAAGUCCCGCAACGAGCGCAACCCUUGAUCUUAGUUGCCAGCAUUCAGUUGGGCACUCUAAGGUGACUGCCGGUGACAAACCGGAGGAAGGUGGGGAUGACGUCAAAUCAUCAUGCCCCUUAUGACCUGGGCUACACACGUGCUACAAUGGACAGAACAAAGGGCAGCGAAACCGCGAGGUUAAGCCAAUCCCACAAAUCUGUUCUCAGUUCGGAUCGCAGUCUGCAACUCGACUGCGUGAAGCUGGAAUCGCUAGUAAUCGCGGAUCAGCAUGCCGCGGUGAAUACGUUCCCGGGCCUUGUACACACCGCCCGUCACACCACGAGAGUUUGUAACACCCGAAGUCGGUGAGGUAACC
rnacentral:rRNA from 1 species